CACCAUAGUUUAAUAUAUAUAAAUAUAACCCCUUCCCUGCUGGAGACCCACGCAAUGCCCUUAAAGACAUAGGACUGUAUGCCUCCAAUGGCGACAAAGGAGUUGACUCCCGUUAAAAGACUCAAAUGGUCAAUAUUGCUUUUACAUUGGUCCCAGCCUGGCCCAGAGUACAUUGUAACAUUGCUUCAUAGACACACACAGGAUUGACAUUGAAAACGUUUAGGUCUUCAGAUACCUGCAAGCCAUUUAUAGCAGAUGGUCUAUCCCUAAAGGUUUUCAAGGUCAAUGUCAGAGGUAAGUUUUAGUUAAACAUUGCAGGGAAUUGGGCAACAGAAUACACCUGUGGUGACUCAGUAUGGCUACAAACCUUUUUAGUGUUUUGAUCUUUGGCUCAUUAUAAUUAGAGAUUUGCAAACUGUUCCACGUAAGUUCAUUUGGAUAAAUCUGGCUGUUUUUACAGGACACAAAAUGUAUUUGUUGUGGGAAAACUGUGGUUGAGUUCAAGUUUGGAACACACUUUAUGAUAGAGGGAGACCACAGUAAAGUCUCCAUUUUAGGAACGUAUAAAAUGUGUCCAUGUUCAAAUUGUUCUUUGGAUACACGUAUUGUUUUAAUUCAAACUGGUUUAGUGAUGACCACGUUUGAGGUACUCAAACAACCAUUUAGAUAAUGGUCAACAUUUGGGAAAUGUUUGAAUUUCUUUGGGAGACGAACUGUAAAUAGUUUGCAUAUCUCUAUUUACAGCAAUGCUA